rnacentral:rRNA from 1 species
GGAAUCUACCUUGUAGUGGGGGACAACCCGAGGAAACUCGGGCUAAUACCGCAUAAUCUCUUCGGAGGAAAGCGGGGGACCUUUGGGCCUCGCGCUAUAAGAUGAGCCUGCGUCAGAUUAGCUUGUUGGUUGGGUAAUGGCCUACCAAGGCAACGAUCUGUAGCUGGUCUGAGAGGACGAUCAGCCACACUGGGACUGAGACACGGCCCAGACUCCUACGGGAGGCAGCAGUGGGGAAUAUUGGACAAUGGGCGCAAGCCUGAUGCAGCAAUGCCGCGUGUGUGAAGAAGGCCUGCGGGUUGUAAAGCACUUUCAGUAGAGAAGAAAAGUUUAGGGUUAAUACCCCUGAAUCUUGACGUUACCUACAGAAGAAGCUCCGGCUAACUCCGUGCCAGCAGCCGCGGUAAUACGGAGGGAGCGAGCGUUAAUCGGAAUUACUGGGCGUAAAGCGCGCGUAGGUGGCUCUUUAAGUCGGAUGUGAAAGCCCUGGGCUCAACCUGGGAAUUGCAUUCGAAACUGCAGAGCUAGAGUAUGG